UACGUAGGGAGCAAGCGUUGUCCGGAAUCGCUGGGCGUAAAGCGCACGUAGGCGGCUUUCUAAGUCAGGGGUGAAAUCCUGGAGCUCAACUCCAGAACUGCCUUUGAUACUGGAGAGCUUGAGUCCGGGAGAGGUGAGUGGAACUCCGAGUGUAGAGGUGAAAUUCGUAGAUAUUCGGAAGAACACCAGUGGCGAAGGCGGCUCACUGGCCCGGUACUGACGCUGAUGUGCGAAAGCGUGGGGAGCAAACAGG
rnacentral:rRNA from 1 species